UACGUAGGGUGCGAGCGUUGUCCGGAAUUAUUGGGCGUAAAGGGCUCGUAGGCGGUUUGUCGCGUCGGGAGUGAAAACCCAGGGCUUAACCCUGGGCUGGCUUCCGAUACGGGCGGACUAGAGGUAUGCAGGGGAGAACGGAAUUCCUGGUGUAGCGGUGAAAUGCGCAGAUAUCAGGAGGAACACCGGUGGCGAAGGCGGUUCUCUGGGCAUUACCUGACGCUGAGGAGCGAAAGUGUGGGGAGCGAACAGG
rnacentral:rRNA from 1 species